AUUGAACGCUGGCGGCAUGCCUUACACAUGCAAGUCGAACGGCAGCACGGGGGCAACCCUGGUGGCGAGUGGCGAACGGGUGAGUAAUACAUCGGAACGUGCCCUGUAGUGGGGGAUAGCUCGGCGAAAGCCGGAUUAAUACCGCAUACGACCUACGGGUGAAAGCGGGGGAUCGCAAGACCUCGCGCUACAGGAGCGGCCGAUGUCAGAUUAGGUUGUUGGUGGGGUAAAGGCCUACCAAGCCGACGAUCUGUAGCUGGUCUGAGAGGACGACCAGCCACACUGGGACUGAGACACGGCCCAGACUCCUACGGGAGGCAGCAGUGGGGAAUUUUGGACAAUGGGCGCAAGCCUGAUCCAGCCAUGCCGCGUGCGGGAAGAAGGCCUGGUGUAACGC
rnacentral:rRNA from 1 species